rnacentral:pre_miRNA from 1 species
CUUUAUUAAUACUUGAUUUCUGUCAAACCGAAGAUUUCGCGGCUAGAAUGCGGAACUAUUCCUAGCAUACUGGCCCCCAAAUCUUUGCUUUGAUUGAAAGUCUGUUAUU